CAGUCGCCGCGGGAAUACGUAGGGUGCAAGCGUUAAUCGGAAUUACUGGGCGUAAAGCGUGCGCAGGCGGUUAUAUAAGACAGAUGUGAAAUCCCAGGGCUCAACCUGGGAACUGCAUUUGUGACUGUAUAGCUAGAGUACGGCAGAGGGGGAUGGAAUUCAGCGUGUAGCAGUGAAAUGCGUAGAUAUGCGGAGGAACACCGAUGGCGAAGGCAAUCCCCUGGGCCUGUACUGACGCUCAUGCACGAAAGCAUGGGGAGCAAACAGGAUUAGAUACCCGUGUAGUCCCUGUCUCUUAUAC
rnacentral:rRNA from 1 species